rnacentral:rRNA from 1 species
CUACGGGUCGCUGCAGUGGGGGAUAUUGCACAAUGGGGGAAACCCUGAUGCAGCAACGCCGCGUGAAGGAAGACGGAUUUCGGUCUGUAAACUUCUAUCAGCAGGGAUGAAAAUGACAGUACCUGACUAAGAAGCCCCGGCUAACUACGUGCCAGCAGCCGCGGUAAUAUGUAGGGGGCAAGCGUUAUCCGGAUUUACUGGGUGUAAAGGGUACGUAGGCGGUUUGUUAAGUCAGAUGUGAAAGCCCGGAGCUCAACUCCGGGACUGCAUUUGAAACUGGCGAACUAGAGUACAGGAGAGGAAAGCGGAAUUCCUAGUGUAGCGGUGAAAUGCGUAGAUAUUAGGAAGAACACCAGUGGCGAAGGCGGCUUUCUGGACUGUAACUGACGCUGAGGUACGAAAGCGUGGGGAGCGAACAGGAUUAGAUACCCCCGUAGUC